rnacentral:rRNA from 1 species
CCAAUAGCGUAUAUUAAAGUUGUUGCAGUUAAAAAGCUCGUAGUUGAAUUUCGGGAUCAAUUUAUUGGUCGUGCCAACGGUACGCACUGGUACAAUUGGUUUCUCCCUUCUGACGAAGCAUGAUGUCAUUAAUUUGAUGUCGUGGGGAAUCAGGACUGUUACUUUGAAAAAAUUAGAGUGUUUAAAGCAGGCUUUGGCUUGAAUACAUUAGCAUGGAAUAAUGAAAUAGGACGUUUGAUCUUAUUUCGUUGGUUUCUAAGAUCGACGUAAUGAUUAAUAGGGAUAGUUGGGGGCAUUAGUAUUCAAUUGUCAGAGGUGAAAUUCUUGGAUUUAUUGAAGACUAACUACUGCGAAAGCAUUUGCCAAGGAUGUUUUCAUUAAUCAAGAACGAAAGUUAGGGGAUCGAAGACGAUCAGAUACCGUCGUAGUCUUAACCAUAAACUAUGCCGACUAGGGAUCGGAUGAUGUUAAUUUUUUAAUGACUCAUUCGGCGCCUUACG